rnacentral:tRNA from 1 species
GGCCACAUGGCGCAGUGGUUAAGCGCCUGGCUCAUUAGUGUGGAAUACUAAUGCAUGGGUUCGAAUCCCAUUGUAGUCU